UAGUCCACGCUGUAAACGAUGAGAACUAGACGUUGGGUGGAUAACCGCUCGGUGUCGUAGCUAACGUGUUAAGUUCUCCGCCUGGGGAGUACGACCGCAAGGUUGAAACUCAAAGGAAUUGACGGGGGCCCGCACAAGCGGUGGAGCAUGUGGUUUAAUUCGAUGCAACGCGAAGAACCUUACCUGCCCUUGACAUCCUGGGAAGGUCCUAGAGAUAGGACUGUGCCUUCGGGAACCCAGUGACAGGUGCUGCAUGGCUGUCGUCAGCUCGUGUCGUGAGAUGUUGGGUUAAGUCCCGCAACGAGCGCAACCCUUGUCCUUAGUUGCCAGCGGUUCGGCCGGGAACUCUAGGGAGACUGCCGGUGAUAAACCGGAGGAAGGUGGGGAUGGACGUCAAGUCAUCAUGGGCCCUUACGGGGCAGGGGCUACACACGUGCUACAAUGGACGGUACAAAGAGUU
rnacentral:rRNA from 1 species